rnacentral:tRNA from 1 species
GUGGGUAUAGCUCAGUUGGUUAGAGCGCCGGAUUGUGAUUCCGGAGGUCGCGGGUUCGACCCCCGUUACUCACC